rnacentral:sRNA from 1 species
UAACAUAGAGGAUGUUGUCAUUUGAGCAAUUAUGAUUGUGUUUUGGCAGGCCGAGUUUUGAGCAAUCUGUGAAAUUCUACAAAAUUCUGGCAGCUGUUGAGGAAGUAUAUUAAAUUCGAUUGGAAGUUCGUUCAGUCGAUCAUUUCAAUGUGGGAAUUUAUACAUCCGGUGGGCUAUGAAAAGCCUUUUUCUAUCUUCCCAGCCAACUUUCAACCUUUCCAAGUCGACCCAAAACCCCGAAAACAGAGGUCAAAAGAUUGCCAACCUCUGCGUUGCCUUCUCCGUAUGCAAAUCUCAAGUGAACGGAUCGGAUCGAUGGGGCCGCAAAAGAGGUCGUCAAUUGUGGCUCCUCGCAUCCGCAGAAGAACAACUGCCUCCUCAAGCCCAAAGGCUUGUCAGUAUUUCGUCAAAAGACACAUGUUGCCGUCGAGACAGAGCCCCGGAGUCAGAAGACAAAAGGCGGAGACAGGCGAUUCUAACGAGAAUAAUAUAGUUCUCCAUUCUCUUUAUUUAUAUUUAUGGCGGUCGACGAAAGGCUUCUUAGAAAAUGCAUAAAACCUGCGCCAAGACAGCCCCACAUGCUACGUAGACUGUGGCCAAAUGUGCACGAACGAUUGACUGUCGUGAAGCUUCGUUUAAAUGCGUUUUUAAUUAAUUAUGCGACGCGCGUGCCACAUGCAACGUGCUGCAAGGGGGACGCAUCGGGCCAACUUCAGUGACAACACACGAUCGACAUCAAAAUGCAGACAUCGAGCGGGGAAGUCGUAAAAAUGCGGCAAGAAAUUUUCAAAUUUGUAAAACGCUAAAAAUUCCCAAAACGCAGCCGUAUCUUCUGGAUGCAGAGAAAACAAUUGGGGACAAAAACUGAGAAGUGUAUUCUGAAAACCA